AUUUUAGCCACUUAGUACUGUGGGCGAAGAUGAUAUAGCUGAUAUACUUCUUGACUUCAAUGACUUAGCGAAGAUCCCUUAUUUCAUAGAGUAUGUCAGAGAAUUGCAGCGAGGCUUGGUUAAGUUCAGAGACGAGAUAAGUGGUGAGGUAGCAAGCAGAGAUAUAGCUCCACCAUUGAUUCUUCCAAAAUUGCCUGGAAGAUUCUACUAUCUAUUUGGGAAGCCAAUAAGCACAAAAGGGAUGGAGAACAUGCUUAAAGACAGAGAAGCUGCCAACAAACUAUACCUUCAAAUUAAGUCAGAAGUUGAGAACAAUAUGUGUUACUUGCUCAAGAAAAGGCAGGAGGAUCUGUAUAGGAAUUUCAUUGAUAAGAGGUUCAUUUGUAUGAGAAUCUCUUAAAUGGAUGUGAAGUAGUGGAAUCACAGUAAGGCUGCCUCUUUCUAAGUCGAAGAAGGAUAUGAUGGCCAUGUUGAUCCUGUUAUGUAAACACGCUUCAUUUACGGUGGUUUCUCAUUAUGAUAUUUUCUUCAAAUAGAUUGCUUCCAUGUGUGACGGAACAUUUACUUGCGGAAAUAGUUCAACUGACAGUAACUGAUAUUACAAAAGCAAUUGAGUGGUUGCAAUGCUCAUACUUGUAUGUUAGAAUGAAAAAGAACCCUGAGAACUAUUCAAUUAAGAAAGGAAUUUCUGGUGAUCGUUUAGUGAAGCAUGUUCAAGGUGCAAUUGUUGUCCUGCAGUUGAGCUUAUAGCUUUCUAUUUUUAUCCCUCUCUUUCUCCAAGGUUUUUGUUUUCCUCCUAUUUCCCUUCAUUAAUUAUUGAAGCUAUGCUAUGUUAGAUAUUUGUGUUAAGAAAGUUAACGAGUUAUCUCAGCACCAAAUGGUAGAGAUUGAUAAAGAUGGUUUCCUCUUGAGCCCAUUAGAUCCUGGGAGGCUAAUGACAGUAUUAUUUGAGAUUUGAUACUAUGAAACAGAUAAUGAGGACACCUGAAAACUGCUGUCUAGAAGAUGCACUUCAUGUUAUUUGCUCUGCAGAAGAAAUUUCUUGUGCGGAUAUUCUCAUUAACUGUUUUAGUGUCUAAUG